CAAAUACUCAAAUGAGAACUUUGAGGACUGAAGUGGGGAAAGGUUCCAUGUGAACAGCAGUUGGACAUGGGUUAGUCGAUCCUAAG
rnacentral:ncRNA from 1 species